AUUGAACGCUGGCGGCAGGCCUAACACAUGCAAGUCGAACGAGAGGCGGACGGGUGAGUAAUGUCUGGGAAACUGCCCGAGGGAGGGGGAGAACUACGGGAAACGGUAGCUAAUCCCGCAUACCAUCGGAUGUGCCCAGAUGGGAGUAGCUAGUAGGUGGGGGAACGGCUCACUUAGGCUACGAUCCCUAGCUGGUCUGAGAGGAUGACAAACCAACCUGGAACUGAGACACGGUCCAGACUCCUACGGGAGGCAGCAGUGGGGAAUAUUGCACAAUGGGCGCAAGCCUGAUGCAGCCAUGCCGCGUGUAUCAAGAAGGCCUUCGGGUUGUAAAGUACUUUCAGCGAGGAGGCGUUACUCGCAGAAGAAGCACCGGCUAACUCCGUGCCAGCCGCCGCGGUAAUUC
rnacentral:rRNA from 1 species